rnacentral:rRNA from 1 species
CACGGGGGGAGCAAGCGUUGUUCGGAAUUACUGGGCGUAAAGGGCGCGUAGGCGGUUCUGUAAGUCCCGCGUGAAAUCCCCCGGCUCAACUGGGGAACUGCGCGGGAAACUGUGGGGCUAGAGUUCAGGAGAGGGAAGCGGAAUUCCGGGUGUAGCGGUGAAAUGCGUAGAUAUCCGGAGGAACACCGGUGGCGAAGGCGGCUUCCUGGACUGACACUGACGCUGAGGCGCGAAAGCUAGGGGAGCAAACGGG